AACGAACGCUGGCGGCGCGCCUAAUACAUGCAAGUCGAGCGAGAAGACGUAGCAAUACGUUUGUAAAGCGGCGAACGGGUGAGGAAUACAUGGGUAACCUACCCUCGAGUGGGGAAUAACUAGCCGAAAGGUUAGCUAAUACCGCGUACGCUCCUUGGACUUCGGUUCAGGGAGGAAAGCGAUACCGUGGGUAUCGCGCUCUUGGAUGGGCUCAUGUCCUAUCAGCUUGUUGGUGAGGAACGGCUCACCAAGGCUUCGACGGGUAGCUGGUCUGAGAGGACGAUCAGCCACACUGGCACUGCGACACGGGCCAGACUCCUACGGGAGGCAGCAGUAAGGAUAUUGCGCAAUGGGCGAAAGCCUGACGCAGCGACGCCGCGUGGGGGAUGAAGGUCUUCGGAUUGUAAACCCCUUUCGGGAGGGAAGAUGGAACGAGCAAUCGUUCGGACGGUACCUCCAGAAGCAGCCACGGCUAACUUCGUGCCAGCAGCCGCAGU
rnacentral:rRNA from 1 species